AACGAACGCUGGCGGCAGGCUUAACACAUGCAAGUCGAGCGAGACCUUCGGGUCUAGCGGCGGACGGGUGAGUAACGCGUGGGAACGUGCCCUUCUCUACGGAAUAGCCCCGGGAAACUGGGAGUAAUACCGUAUACGCCCUUUGGGGGAAAGAUUUAUCGGAGCAGGAUCGGCCCGCGUUGGAUUAGGUAGUUGGUGGGGUAAUGGCCCACCAAGCCGACGAUCCAUAGCUGGUUUGAGAGGAUGAUCAGCCACACUGGGACUGAGACACGGCCCAGACUCCUACGGGAGGCAGCAGUGGGGAAUCUUAGACAAUGGGGGCAACCCUGAUCUAGCCAUGCCGCGUGAGUGAUGAAGGCCUUAGGGUUGUAAAGCUCUUUCAGCUGGGAAGAUAAUGACGGUACCAGCAGAAGAAGCCCCGGCUAACUCCGUG
rnacentral:rRNA from 1 species